AGUCGAGCGGACCGACGGGAGCUUGCUCCCUUAGGUCAGCGGCGGACGGGUGAGUAACACGUGGGUAACCUGCCUGUAAGACUGGGAUAACUCCGGGAAACCGGGGCUAAUACCGGAUGCUUGAUUGAACCGCAUGGUUCAAUCAUAAAAGGUGGCUUUUAGCUACCACUUACAGAUGGACCCGCGGCGCAUUAGCUAGUUGGUGAGGUAACGGCUCACCAAGGCGACGAUGCGUAGCCGACCUGAGAGGGUGAUCGGCCACACUGGGACUGAGACACGGCCCAGACUCCUACGGGAGGCAGCAGUAGGGAAUCUUCCGCAAUGGACGAAAGUCUGACGGAGCAACGCCGCGUGAGUGAUGAAGGUUUUCGGAUCGUAAAACUCUGUUGUUAGGGAAGAACAAGUACCGUUCGAAUAGGGCGGCACCUUGACGGUACCUAACCAGAAAGCCACGGCUAACUACGUGCCAGCAGCCGCGGUAAUACGUAGGUGGCAAGCGUUGUCCGGAAUUAUUGGGCGUAAAGCGCGCGCAGGCGGUUUCUUAAGUCUGAUGUGAAAGCCCCCGGCUCAACCGGGGAGGGUCAUUGGAAACUGGGGAACUUGAGUGCAGAAGAGGAGAGUGGAAUUCCACGUGUAGCGGUGAAAUGCGUAGAGAUGUGGAGGAACACCAGUGGCGAAGGCGACUCUCUGGUCUGUAACUGACGCUGAGGCGCGAAAGCGUGGGGAGCGAACAGGAUUAGAUACCCUGGUAGUCCACGCCGUAAACGAUGAGUGCUAAGUGUUAGAGGGUUUCCGCCCUUUAGUGCUGCAGCAAACGCAUUAAGCACUCCGCCUGGGGAGUACGGUCGCAAGACUGAAACUCAAAGGAAUUGACGGGGGCCCGCACAAGCGGUGGAGCAUGUGGUUUAAUUCGAAGCAACGCGAAGAACCUUACCAGGUCUUGACAUCCUCUGACAACCCUAGAGAUAGGGCUUCCCCUUCGGGGGCAGAGUGACAGGUGGUGCAUGGUUGUCGUCAGCUCGUGUCGUGAGAUGUUGGGUUAAGUCCCGCAACGAGCGCAACCCUUGAUCUUAGUUGCCAGCAUUCAGUUGGGCACUCUAAGGUGACUGCCGGUGACAAACCGGAGGAAGGUGGGGAUGACGUCAAAUCAUCAUGCCCCUUAUGACCUGGGCUACCAACGUGCUACAAUGGGC
rnacentral:rRNA from 1 species